rnacentral:rRNA from 1 species
AUUCCGGUUGAUCCUGCCGGAGGCCAUUGCUAUCGGAGUCCGAUUUAGCCAUGCUAGUCGCACGGGUUCAGACCCGUGGCAGAUAGCUCAGUAACACGUGGCCAAACUACCCUAUGGAUCGAGACAACCUCGGGAAACUGAGGCUAAUCUCGAAUACGGUUUCCACUCUGGAGUGAGGGAAACUAGAAACGCCCCG